GAUGAACGCUGGCGGCGUGCCUAAUACAUGCAAGUCGAGCGAACGGACGAGAAGCUUGCUUCUCUGAUGUUAGCGGCGGACGGGUGAGUAACACGUGGAUAACCUACCUAUAAGACUGGGAUAACUUCGGGAAACCGGAGCUAAUCCCGGAUAAUAUUUUGAACCGCAUGGUUCAAAAGUGAAAGACGGUCUUGCUGUCACUUAUAGAUGGAUCCGCGCUGCUUUAGCUAGUUGGUAAGGUAACGGCUUACCAAGGCAACGAUGCAUAGCCGACCUGAGAGGGGGGUCGGCCACACUGGAAGUGAGACACGGUCCAUACUCCUACGGGAGGCAGCAGUAGGGAAUCUGCCGCAGUGGGCGAAAGCCUGACGGAGCAACGCCGCGUGAGUGAUGAAGGUCUUGGGAUCGUAAAACUCGGUUAUUAGGGAAGAACAGAUGUGGAAGGAGCUGUGCAGAGCUUGACGGUACCUAAUCAGAAAGCCACGGCUAACUACGUG
rnacentral:rRNA from 1 species